UAGGGAAUCUUCGGCAAUGGACGAAAGUCUGACCGAGCAACGCCGCGUGAGUGAAGAAGGUUUUCGGAUCGUAAAACUCUGUUGUUAGAGAAGAACAAGGACGUUAGUAACUGAACGUCCCCUGACGGUAUCUAACCAGAAAGCCACGGCUAACUACGUGCCAGCAGCCGCGGUAAUACGUAGGUGGCAAGCGUUGUCCGGAUUUAUUGGGCGUAAAGCGAGCGCAGGCGGUUUCUUAAGUCUGAUGUGAAAGCCCCCGGCUCAACCGGGGAGGGUCAUUGGAAACUGGGAGACUUGAGUGCAGAAGAGGAGAGUGGAAUUCCAUGUGUAGCGGUGAAAUGCGUAGAUAUAUGGAGGAACACAAGUGGCGAAGGCGGCUCUCUGGUCUGUAACUGACGCUGAGGCUCGAAAGCGUGGGGAGCAAACAGG
rnacentral:rRNA from 1 species